rnacentral:rRNA from 2 species
CUGGUCAGGACGAACGCUGGCGGCGUGCCUAAUACAUGCAAGUCGAACGAACUCUGGUAUUGAUUGGUGCUUGCAUCAUGAUUUACAUUUGAGUGAGUGGCGAACUGGUGAGUAACACGUGGGAAACCUGCCCAGAAGCGGGGGAUAACACCUGGAAACAGAUGCUAAUACCGCAUAACAACUUGGACCGCAUGGUCCGAGYUUGAAAGAUGGCUUCGGCUAUCACUUUUGGAUGGUCCCGCGGCGUAUUAGCUAGAUGGUGGGGUAACGGCUCACCAUGGCAAUGAUACGUAGCCGACCUGAGAGGGUAAUCGGCCACAUUGGGACUGAGACACGGCCCAAACUCCUACGGGAGGCAGCAGUAGGGAAUCUUCCACAAUGGACGAAAGUCUGAUGGAGCAACGCCGCGUGAGUGAAGAAGGGUUUCGGCUCGUAAAACUCUGUUGUUAAAGAAGAACAUAUCUGAGAGUAACUGUUCAGGUAUUGACGGUAUUUAACCAGAAAGCCACGGCUAACUACGUGCCAGCAGCCGCGGUAAUACGUAGGUGGCAAGCGUUGUCCGGAUUUAUUGGGCGUAAAGCGAGCGCAGGCGGUUUUUUAAGUCUGAUGUGAAAGCCUUCGGCUCAACCGAAGAAGUGCAUCGGAAACUGGGAAACUUGAGUGCAGAAGAGGACAGUGGAACUCCAUGUGUAGCGGUGAAAUGCGUAGAUAUAUGGAAGAACACCAGUGGCGAAGGCGGCUGUCUGGUCUGUAACUGACGCUGAGGCUCGAAAGUAUGGGUAGCAAACAGGAUUAGAUACCCUGGUAGUCCAUACCGUAAACGAUGAAUGCUAAGUGUUGGAGGGUUUCCGCCCUUCAGUGCUGCAGCUAACGCAUUAAGCAUUCCGCCUGGGGAGUACGGCCGCAAGGCUGAAACUCAAAGGAAUUGACGGGGGCCCGCACAAGCGGUGGAGCAUGUGGUUUAAUUCGAAGCUACGCGAAGAACCUUACCAGGUCUUGACAUACUAUGCAAAUCUAAGAGAUUAGACGUUCCCUUCGGGGACAUGGAUACAGGUGGUGCAUGGUUGUCGUCAGCUCGUGUCGUGAGAUGUUGGGUUAAGUCCCGCAACGAGCGCAACCCUUAUUAUCAGUUGCCAGCAUUAAGUUGGGCACUCUGGUGAGACUGCCGGUGACAAACCGGAGGAAGGUGGGGAUGACGUCAAAUCAUCAUGCCCCUUAUGACCUGGGCUACACACGUGCUACAAUGGAUGGUACAACGAGUUGCGAACUCGCGAGAGUAAGCUAAUCUCUUAAAGCCAUUCUCAGUUCGGAUUGUAGGCUGCAACUCGGCCUACAUGAAGUCGGAAUCGCUAGUAAUCGCGGAUCAGCAUGCCGCG